GAAGCAGCAACGCCGCGUGGAGGAUGACACUUUUCGGAGCGUAAACUCCUUUUCUUAGGGAAGAACAAUGACGGUACCUAAGGAAUAAGCACCGGCUAACUCCGUGCCAGCAGCCGCGGUAAUACGGAGGGUGCAAGCGUUACUCGGAAUCACUGGGCGUAAAGGACGCGUAGGCGGAUUAUCAAGUCUUUUGUGAAAUCUAAUGGCUUAACCAUUAAACUGCUUGAGAAACUGAUAAUCUAGAGUGAGGGAGAGGCAGAUGGAACUGGUGGUGUAGGGGUAAAAUCCGUAGAGAUCACCAAGAAUACCCAUUGCGAAGGCGAUCUGCUAGAACUCAACUGACGCUAAUGCGUGAAAGCGUGGGGAGCAAACAGGAUUAGAUACCCUGGUAGUCCACGCCCUAAACGAUGCAUACUAGUUGUUGCUCUGCUAGUCAGGGCAGUAAUUCAGCUAACGCAUUAAGUAUGCCGCCUGGGGAGUACGGUCGCAAGAUUAAAACUCAAAGGAAUAGACGGGGACCCGCACAAGCGGUGGAGCAUGUGGUUUAAUUCGAAGAUACGCGAAGAACCUUACCUGGGCUUGAUAUCCUAAGAACCUCUUAGAGAUAAGAGGGUGCUAGCUUGCUAGAACUUAGAGACAGGUGCUGCACGGCUGUCGUCAGCUCGUGUCGUGAGAUGUUCGGUUAAGUCCGGCAACGAGCGCAACCCACGUAUUUAGUUGCUAACAGUUUGGCUGAGCACUCUAAAUAUACUGCCUUCGUAAGGAGGAGGAAGGUGUGGACGACGUCAAGUCAUCAUGGCCCUUAUGCCCAGGGCGACACACGUGCUACAAUGGCAUAUACAAUGAGACGCAAUACCGCGAGGUGGAGCAAAUCUAUAAAAUAUGUCCCAGUUCGGAUUGUUCUCUGCAACUCGAGAGCAUGAAGCCGGAAUCGCUAGUAAUCGUAGA
rnacentral:rRNA from 1 species